rnacentral:rRNA from 1 species
AACGUAGGUGGCAAGCGUUAUCCGGAUUUACUGGGCGUAAAGCGUGUGCAGGCGGGAGAACAAGUGGUGUAUGAAAUGGCUCGGCUCAACCGGGCGAGGUUAUGCCAGAUUGUUCUUCUAGAGUGCGAGAGAGGGGCAUGGAAUUCCGGGUGUAGUGGUGAAAUGCGUAGAGAUCCGGAGGAACCCCAGAGGCGAAGGCGGUGCCCUGGCUCGCAACUGACGCUCAGACACGACAGCAUGGGGAGCGAACGGG